AUUGAACGCUGGCGGCAUGCUUUACACAUGCAAGUCGAACGGUAACAGGUCUUUCGGGAUGCUGACGAGUGGCGAACGGGUGAGUAAUGUAUCGGAACGUGCCCAGUAUGGGGGGAUAACUACUCGAAAGAGUGGCUAAUACCGCAUGAGAUCUCUGGAUGAAAGCGGGGGACCGUAAGGCCUCGCGCUACUGGAGCGGCCGAUAUCAGAUUAGGUUGUUGGUGAGGUAAAGGCUCACCAAGCCGACGAUCUGUAGCUGGUCUGAGAGGACGACCAGCCACACUGGGACUGAGACACGGUCCAGACUCCUACGGGAGGCAGCAGUGGGGAAUUUUGGACAAUGGGCGCAAGCCUGAUCCAGCCAUUCCGCGUGCAGGAUGAAGGCCUUCGGGUUGUAAACUGCUUUUGUACGGAACGAAAAGGUCCUUUCUAAUAAAGGGGGCUCAUGACGGUACCGUAAGAAUAAGCACCGGCUAACUACGUG
rnacentral:rRNA from 1 species